rnacentral:rRNA from 1 species
GAUGAACGCUGGCGGCGUGCCUAAUACAUGCAAGUCGAGCGCACAGAUGAGGAGCUUGCUCCUCUGACGUUAGCGGCGGACGGGUGAGUAACACGUGGAUAACCUACCUAUAAGACUGGGAUAACUUCGGGAAACCGGAGCUAAUACCGGAUAAUAUAUUGAACCGCAUGGUUCAAUAGUGAAAGACGGUUUUGCUGUCACUUACAGAUGGAUCCGCGCCGCAUUAGCUAGUUGGUAAGGUAACGGCUUACCAAGGCGCCGAUGCGUAGCCGACCUGAGAGGGUGAUCGGCCACACUGGAACUGGAACACGGUCCAGACUCCUACGGGAGGCGGCGGUAGGGAAUCUUCCGCAAUGGGCGAAAGCCUGACGGAGCAACGCCGCGUGAGUGAUGAAGGUCUUCGGAUCGUAAAACUCUGUUAUUGGGGAAGAACAAAUGUGUAAGUAACUGUGCACGUCUUGACGGUACCUAAUCAGAAAGCCACGGCUAACUACGUG